GAUGAACGCUGGCGGCGUGCCUAAUACAUGCAAGUCGAGCGAACGGACGAGAAGCUUGCUUCUCUGAUGUUAGCGGCGGACGGGUGAGUAACACGUGGAUAACCUACCUAUAAGACUGGGAUAACUUCGGGAAACCGGAGCUAAUACCGGAUAAUAUUUUGAACCGCAUGGUUCAAAAGUGAAAGACGGUCUUGCUGUCACUUAUAGAUGGAUCCGCGCUGCAUUAGCUAGUUGGUAAGGUAACGGCUUACCAAGGCAACGAUGCAUAGCCGACCUGAGAGGGUGAUCGGCCAUACUGGAACUGAGACACGGUCCAGACUCCUACGGGAGGCAGCAGUAGGGAAUCUUCCGCAAUGGGCGAAAGCCUGACGGAGCAACGCCGCGUGAGUGAUGAAGGUCUUCGGGUCGUAAAACUCUGUUAUUAGGGAAGAACAUAUGUGUAAGUAACUGUGCACAUCUUGACGGUACCUAAUCAGAAAGCCACGGCUAACUACGUGCCAGCAGCCGCGGUAAUACGUAGGUGGCAAGCGUUAUCCGGAAUUAUUGGGCGUAAAGCGCGCGUAGGCGGUUUUUUAAGUCUGAUGUGAAAGCCCACGGCUCAACCGUGGAGGGUCAUUGGAAACUGGAAAACUUGAGUGCAGAAGAGGAAAGUGGAAUUCCAUGUGUAGCGGUGAAAUGCGCAGAGAUAUGGAGGAACACCAGUGGCGAAGGCGACUUUCUGGUCUGUAACUGACGCUGAUGUGCGAAAGCGUGGGGAUCAAACAGGAUUAGAUACCCUGGUAGUCCACGCCGUAAACGAUGAGUGCUAAGUGUUAGGGGGUUUCCGCCCCUUAGUGCUGCAGCUAACGCAUUAAGCACUCCGCCUGGGGAGUACGACCGCAAGGUUGAAACUCAAAGGAAUUGACGGGGACCCGCACAAGCGGUGGAGCAUGUGGUUUAAUUCGAAGCAACGCGAAGAACCUUACCAAAUCUUGACAUCCUUUGACAACUCUAGAGAUAGAGCCUUCCCCUUCGGGGGACAAAGUGACAGGUGGUGCAUGGUUGUCGUCAGCUCGUGUCGUGAGAUGUUGGGUUAAGUCCCGCAACGAGCGCAACCCUUAAGCUUAGUUGCCAUCAUUAAGUUGGGCACUCUAAGUUGACUGCCGGUGACAAACCGGAGGAAGGUGGGGAUGACGUCAAAUCAUCAUGCCCCUUAUGAUUUGGGCUACACACGUGCUACAAUGGACAAUACAAAGGGCAGCGAAACCGCGAGGUCAAGCAAAUCCCAUAAAGUUGUUCUCAGUUCGGAUUGUAGUCUGCAACUCGACUACAUGAAGCUGGAAUCGCUAGUAAUCGUAGAUCAGCAUGCUACGGUGAAUACGUUCCCGGGUCU
rnacentral:rRNA from 1 species